UACCAAUAAAACAACACUGAACAGAACGGACAAGAAAGGAACGGAAAAGAAAAGAACAGAAUAGGACUGGGCAUGCAGAACAGAACGAAACGAAACGGGACAAAACGGAACAAAACGGAACGGAAGAGUAGGAAAGGCCUUGAAGGGAACCAAAGGGAACAAAACUGAACAGAACAGAACGGAACGCAACGGAACGGAACGGAACGGAACGGAACAGAAC
rnacentral:lncRNA from 1 species